AUACGUAGGGGGCAAGCGUUGUCCGGAUUUACUGGGUGUAAAGGGCGCGUAGGCGGAUUUGUAAGUCAGUGGUGAAAGCCUGUAGCUUAACUACAGAACUGCCUCUGAUACUGCAUAUCUUGAGUUCGGAAGAGAGAAGCGGAAUUCCAGGUGUAGUAGUGAAAUACGUAGAUAUCUGGAAGAACACCAGUGGCGAAGGCGGCUUCUUGGUCCGUAACUGACGCUGAGGCGCGAAAGCGUGGGGAGCGAACAGGAUUAGAUACCCUGGUAGUCCACGCUGUAAACUAUGAAUACUAGGUGUUGGAUGCAUUUGUAUCCAGUGCCGCAGCUAACGCAUUAAGUAUUCCACCUGGGGAGUACGAUCGCAAGGUUGAA
rnacentral:rRNA from 1 species